GCACAGCAGAUGCGCUUCCAGGUGCAUACCCACCUUCAAGUGAUUGAGGAGAGGGUGAAUCAGAGCCUGGGCCUGCUUGACCAGAACCCCCACCUGGCUCAGGAGCUGCGGCCCCAAAUCCGAACUCCUCCACUCUGAACACCUGGGUCCCAGUGAAUUGGAAGCCCCUGCCCCUGGGGGCAGCAGCGAGGACAAGGGUGGGCUGCAGCCUCCAGAUUCCAAGGAUGACACCCCCAUGACCCUUCCAAAAGGUGAGUGUCUCACAGUUAACCCCAGCCUCCAAAUCCCACUGAAUCCCUGAACCCAGAAGGAAACAGGGUCCAUCCAUUGGGAACCUCAGACCCCCUGGGGUAGAGUUUGAUGUACUUUCCAGCCCCCUCCUCUGGACCCUAAAGAAUGAGAUAGGGCCAGGCGCUGGUGACUCACACCCGUAAUCCUAGCACUUUCAGAGGCUGAGGCAGGAGGAUCCCUUGAGGCCACGAGUUCUAGACCAGCCUGGGCAACAUAAUGAGACCCUGUACCUACAAAUAAUUUAAAAAUUACCUGGGUGUGGUGGGGCAUGUCUGUAGUCCCAGCUGCUCAGGAGGCUGACGUAGAAGGAUCACUGGAGCCCAGGAAGUUGAGGCUGCAGUGAGCUGAGAUCAUGCCACUGCACUCCAGCCUGGGUGACAGAGUGAGACUCUGUCU
rnacentral:lncRNA from 1 species